UGGCUCAGAUUGAACGCUGGCGGCAGGCCUAACACAUGCAAGUCGAACGGUAACAGGAAGCAGCUUGCUGCUUCGCUGACGAGUGGCGGACGGGUGAGUAAUGUCUGGGAAACUGCCUGAUGGAGGGGGAUAACUACUGGAAACGGUAGCUAAUACCGCAUAACGUCGCAAGACCAAAGAGGGGGACCUUCGGGCCUCUUGCCAUCGGAUGUGCCCAGAUGGGAUUAGCUUGUUGGUGGGGUAACGGCUCACCAAGGCGACGAUCCCUAGCUGGUCUGAGAGGAUGACCAGCCACACUGGAACUGAGACACGGUCCAGACUCCUACGGGAGGCAGCAGUGGGGAAUAUUGCACAAUGGGCGCAAGCCUGAUGCAGCCAUGCCGCGUGUAUGAAGAAGGCCUUCGGGUUGUAAAGUACUUUCAGCGGGGAGGAAGGGAGUAAAGUUAAUACCUUUGCUCAUUGACGUUACCCGCAGAAGAAGCACCGGCUAACUCCGUGCCAGCAGCCGCGGUAAUACGGAGGGUGCAAGCGUUAAUCGGAAUUACUGGGCGUAAAGCGCACGCAGGCGGUUUGUUAAGUCAGAUGUGAAAUCCCCGGGCUCAACCUGGGAACUGCAUCUGAUACUGGCAAGCUUGAGUCUCGUAGAGGGGGGUAGAAUUCCAGGUGUAGCGGUGAAAUGCGUAGAGAUCUGGAGGAAUACCGGUGGCGAAGGCGGCCCCC
rnacentral:rRNA from 1 species